AGCUCUGCACAGUGGCAGUAUCGUAGCCAAUGAGGUUUAUCCGAGGCACGAUUAUUGCUAAUUGAAAGAGCUGGCUAAGCCUGAAUUUUUACAAGGUGUGAUUUGUAAAGAUGGUCCUGAAAUCAC
rnacentral:snRNA from 1 species